GUCGGGGAAGGGCUUCCGGCACUCGGGGCACGCCUUGUCGCGGCGGUCCCCCCAGUCCCGGAUGCAGGCCCCGCAGAAGUUGUGGCCGCAGACCAGCGUCACCGGCUCCAGAUAGAGCCCCAGGCAAAUGGAGCAGCCUUCCCUGACGAACAUGCGUGACUCGCGUAACAAGGGACCAGCAAGCGGAUGUUAACGGGCCCCUGACUCCAGUGAGGGAAGCCGCUCGGGCACCGCCCCCCAGCCGGCCGGCCCAGCCCACGGCCCAUCCUUGGAAAGCUACUCACCACCCAGGCAGGAGGCUGCCGGGCCCUGGGCCCUGGGGAGCAGCACCACGGGGCUGGAGGGCAGGUCCUGUCGGAUGUGGUCCAGCAGCAGCCUCUGUUGGGCCAGACUCAGACCGCGCUGCGUGGACUCAGCCCUGGACUGCUCGGCAUUCACCCGCCAUCGCUCCUGGGGGCCAGGUGAGGACAUGCGUUCCCUGGACACCCUGCCCGCCCCCUCCGCCCCCCGUCAGGCCUGACUGCGCCCCAGGG